rnacentral:rRNA from 1 species
AGUGAACGCUGGCGGUAGGCCUAACACAUGCAAGUCGAACGGCAGCACAGUAAGAGCUUGCUCUUACGGGUGGCGAGUGGCGGACGGGUGAGGAAUACAUCGGAAUCUACUUUUUCGUGGGUGAUAACGUAGGGAAACUUACGCUAAUACCGCAUACGACCUACGGGUGAAAGCAGGGGAUCUUCGGACCUUGCGCGAUUGAAUGAGCCGAUGUCGGAUUAGCUAGUUGGCGGGGUAAAGGCCCACCAAGGCGACGAUCCGUAGCUGGUCUGAGGGGAUGAUCAGCCACACUGGAACUGAGACACGGUCCAGACUCCUACGGGAGGCAGCAGUGGGGAAUAUUGGACAAUGGGCGCAAGCCUGAUCCAGCCAUACCGCGUGGGUGAAGAAGGCCUUCGGGUUGUAAAGCCCUUUUGUUGGGAAAGAAAAGCAGCAGGUUAAUACCCCGCUGUUCUGACGGUACCCAAAGAAUAAGCACCGGCUAACUUCGUG